rnacentral:rRNA from 1 species
AUUGAACGCUGGCGGCAGGCCUAACACAUGCAAGUCGAGCGGAUGAAGGGAGCUUGCUCCUGGAUUCAGCGGCGGACGGGGGAGUAAUGCCUAGGAAUCUGCCUGGUAGUGGGGGAUAACGUCCGGAAACGGGCGCUAAUACCGCAUACGUCCUGAGGGAGAAAGUGGGUGGUCUUCGGACCUCUCGCUCUCAGAUGAGCCUAGGUCGGAUUAGCUAGUUUGUGGGGUAAAGACCUACUAAGGCGACGAUCCGUAACUGGUCUGAGAGGAUGAUCAGUCACACUGGAACUGAGACACGGUCAAGACUCCUACGGGAGGCAGCAGUGGGGAAUAUUGGACAAUGGGCGAAAGCCUGAUCCAGCCAUGCCGAGUGUGUGAAGAAGGUCUUCGGAUUGUAAAGCACGUUAAGUUGGGAGGAAGGGCAGUAAGUUAAUACCUUGCUGUUUUGACGUUACCAACAGAAUAAGCACCGGCUAACUUCGUG